GUACACGCUGUGACUAGCAUAUCAAUAAGCGGAGGAAAAGAAACUAACAAGGAUUCCCCUAGUAACGGCGAGUGAAGCGGGAAGAGCUCAAAUUUGAAAUCUUAAAGGGUUUCCCUUUACGAAUUGUAGUUUAAAGAAGUGUUUUCUGUUGAGGUUUUGGUAAAAGUUCUUUGGAAUAGGACAUCAUAGAGGGCGAGAAUCCCGUAUUUGACCUUUACUUUCAACUUUGUGAUACACUUUCAAAGAGUCGGAUUGUUUGAGAAUGCAGUCCAAAAUGGGUGGUAAAUUUCAUCUAAAGCUAAAUAUUGGCGAGAGACCGAUAGCGAACAAGUACCGUGAGGGAAAGAUGAAAAGAACUUUGAAAAGAGAGUUAAACAGUACGUGAAAUUGUCAAAAGGGAAGCGUUUGACACCAGUGUUGUUUUUCUGAAAAUCAAUUAAAGAACUGUUUAUGCUAAGUUGUUUAGACUUUAUCAGCUAACUGUUUAGUUUUGAGCUUUUCUUUAAUGCACUUUUCAGUUAACAAGUCAACAUCAAUUUCUUUUGCUGUAAAAAAGCUUGAGGAAGGUGGCUUGAGAUUCGUCUUAAGUGUUUAUAGCCUCUUGCCUAUGCAGUCGGAGAGAUUGAGGUCUGCAGCGUAGAUCCUUCGGGGCUAAAUGCAUUUGUGCUAAGUUAUAGCAUUUUAUAGACAACUUGUUGACUAUGAUUUGUCCUGUAGCUUACUCGCUUAUGUUAUUUUACCUACGCUUAGGAUGUUGAAGUCAUCGUAUCGCGC
rnacentral:rRNA from 1 species